GGAGGGAUCGCAUAGCCCGGUCUAGUGCGCGGCACUGGAAAUGCCGUUGGGGGCAACCCCUCGGGGGUUCAAAUCCCCCUCCCUCCG
rnacentral:tRNA from 2 species